UACGUAGGGUGCGAGCGUUAAUCGGAAUUACUGGGCGUAAAGCGUGCGCAGGCGGUUUUGUAAGCCAGAUGUGAAAUCCCCGGGCUUAACCUGGGAAUGGCAUUUGGGACUGCAAGGCUGGAGUGCGGCAGAGGAGACUGGAAUUCCCGGUGUAGCAGUGAAAUGCGUAGAUAUCGGGAGGAAUACCGAUGGCGAAGGCAGGUCACUGGGCCGCAACUGACGCUGAGGAGCGAAAGCAUGGGGAGCGAACAGG
rnacentral:rRNA from 1 species